CAGCCUAUAAAUAGCAGACCACCCCCCUUAGUCAUUUCUCAUGCUUAGAACCCUAACCAUAGCAGCUCGAAAAAGUCGAAACCCUAAGGUAAAAUGUUUUUGUCUUUAGCUUUCUUUUUAUUUAGAUUUUGUUUUUUUUUCUUAGUUAGAACUUGGAUAGCCUUUCUUACCCUACCCUUCCUGUAUUUAGAUUUCUAAAGCUCUAGAGUUUUCCGAUAAAAGUUUAAAGUGAAGCCGACCACGAGAUAGCAGCGUUUCCAGUCUGAAACUUUCAUCUAAGUGUUGAGGUGAGUCUCGGUUAUGGGUUAUGAUUGUUGUGUGUGCGACUAGCGCCUGCAAAAUAAGAGUAUUGGUUGAUGCAUUGCUAGGUUGCGCGUUUAGAUAUAUAAUGAUAUGAUAAUGAUUGAUGUUUGUGAAAGAUAUUGAGUUAUAUCGUCGGGCCUCGGCUCGAGAGGUAUAACAUGAUUGUGAUACAUUGAUGUUGUGUUGCAUAUACUUAUAUCAUUGCAUUAUAUUGUUUGGGCCUCGGCUCAGAUAAUAUAACAUGUUUGAUCAUAUCUUAACGGGGAAACCCGUAAAUCCACGGACUUGAUCCGUGAGAGUCCGACACUCGGGUGGAGUGUCGUGAGUCAUUGGUGUCCACUCGAGGCCCG
rnacentral:lncRNA from 1 species